UGGUACCAGAAUACGGAAGUAUUCAUGCUUUGGAAAAAUCAUAGACUUUAUCUUCAAGUUUUUCUUUUUCAGGCCAUCAAGGUAAAACCAAUCACAUCUAAACAGAAAUACUGAUGUGUUCGUAAUUGACCUCAAGAACUUGCUUCGACACCCCGUAUAGUUCUCUCUUCUUUAGAGUUAUCAACACCUACCUUCAUCAUGAUGCCCGGAUUCCAUUUUCUUUAAUUCUUCCUUGUGAACCAUGUGUAAAAUAAGUAAACUAGUCAUGAAAAAACAUUGUAGUACGAGUUAGUUAGGUGAUUGAAACUUACUCCAUGUAUCCGUGUACUUCUGGACAAUUGUCAAGUAUAUAUCUAUACAUUUUGCCCCAUUCAUCUGAUCAUGUUUCGUAUGGGCCACUCAAUGCCAACAUGACCACCAUCUAAUAUACAUAGACUUCCUCUCCUAGAUUUCUGCUUUUUGUCCUUCUAACCAUUCUUACUCAUCUCCGUACGUGGUUUGUUAAAACUGGUCUCUAUGUAUUUUUUCAAAAUGUUGACUAGUUCCGCUUACGCUCUUAGGUUGGAAAUACACCUGGCCGCUGCACACCAGUUUUAAUUUCUGAGCCAUGAAUCACCCAAGGCAAUGGUUAAGUAAAACUCUAAGUGGGAAGGUCACAACCUCCAAUAGCAUGAAUAUCCUACAAUGGUCAAAACUAUCUUUUCAUGCCCCUGGACCAAGUCACAUGACUACCAAGGCCAAUGGUAUCAUUCACUAUGGCCUCUCAUUACGGCCAUACUCCUCUUGUGAAGAGACAUGUGGUGGCACAAAAAUAGUUAGGAAUUAACGGAACAAGACUAGAUCUAUUUCGACUCUGGAGGUUCUUAUAUUUCAUGCACAGUGAUAUGUCCCAACAUGCCCA
rnacentral:lncRNA from 1 species